GGGAAUGUGGCUUAGUGGUAGAGUGCUUGCCUAGCAUGCAUGAAGCCCUGGGUUCAAUUCUGCAGCACCA
rfam:Dipodomys ordii contig_69518, whole genome shotgun sequence.